GCUAGUCGAUUUUUUUUGUACAGAUCUCUGGCGAUCCCUCUUCCUCUUCCUCCUCCGUUUUUGUUCAGUAAUGGUGGUCAUCCGUAACGCUUCUCCAAUCUUCGUUUAUAUAGAGUUCUCGAGGUUAGCUCUCAACCCUUCUCUCUUGAUUUCUCACAGCAUCGUUUUCAGGCUGUUGAUUCUAUUGCGAAAAUGACUUCACCAGCCGUCUCUGCCGUCACCGCCGUCUCUGCAGUCGUUGCCAAGGACAGAUCCGUCCAGUCUUUGGUCGGUAGGCUCAUCCGAUUCUAGGAUGCUCGAUUCUAGGAUGCUAAGGACAUCAAUAAGAAUGGAGAACUUUUGGUAAUAACCUUCUACUACUUGAUGAGAUGGUGAUGGUUCUUUCUGAUUGACUUGCUUUAAUGUAUACAACAAUAUUAUUUUUUCCACUGCAUUCGCUUAAUCUUAAUAACAUUAAGAUUCAGAAAUAUGAUUGUAAUAACUCUGAUCGUUUUCUGCAUGUGUUGGGGCAUGGAAGGUUUUUUUCCUCAAAGGAGACUUCAGAUGUCUCUGCAGUUGCGCAAAAAAAGAUGGAAUCUGAAUGACUUCGACAUUGGAGAGCCUCUUGGAAGAGGCAAGUUUGGUCAUGUUUAUCUUGCUCGAGAGAAGCGGAGCAACCACAUUAUCGCCCUGAAGGUUCUAUUCAAGACUCAGCUUCAUCAAUCUGAAGUUGAGCAUCAGUUAAGAAGAGAAGUUGAGAUUGAGCAUCAGUCAAGGGUCACCGCUGAUCGCCGCCAAAUCACCGCUUACCUCUGCGGUUAAUGGCGUUUCUGAUGAAGAAGCUUGGAGAACAAUGAACGAUGAUAAUGUUUUAGAAGAACGAGUAGAGCCAACACAAAUCAAUGGUCCACAAUAACCCAUGUGGGGUUAACACGCUUUGCUCAAAUAGAGAUUCAUGUUACCGAGUAUGGCUUUGGAGAGAGCAGUAGGUCCAGGUGCAGCGAAGCUCCUGUGGAAGAGUCUAAACAUGUUUAUCGAGGCAAGGCGAUGUUUAGGUCCAUCCAAAGUUGUAUACAGGUUUUUCUUCACAUGCCUAAUUCAACCACAUGAUGCAAAAGCACUUUGCUAUGUUCUGAAAACAGAGAAAUGAAUGAAGGGUCAAAAGUUUUGAUGCAGAGGUCAAAGCAUUGAGAGAAAGAAAGGAAACGUGAGGCUGACAUAGAAACAGCAAUCAGUGAAGGAAGAUCUAAGCUCAACGAGACUGAGUACAAGUUGUGAGCUGCUCUUAAGAACCCGAAGAAAGGUAUGAUAUAUUGCAACAGCUUCUGUAAGUUAUCGGAGUGUCAAGACACGGUUACCAACUUACGUACGCAAAUAAGCAUGACAGUGAAAAUUCCACAAAGAGUUGACUACGCUUUAGCGGAACCAGUAAAAUGGUCGCUGUUUCCACAAAUUAAUAUGCUUUCUCUAUUUUAGACUUUGCUAUGUUUUUUUAUUUUUCCUGUUUUUGAUUAUUUUUUCCAGCAACGACAGAGAGUUGACGUAAACUUUUGUAUUCAGCUUAUCAAACUGCACAACUGCAUGUUUGCAUAGUAAAAUCUAUGUCACGUAACCACAAAAGAUUCA